rnacentral:lncRNA from 8 species
UAAUGGAGGGGGGAGGAGGGAGGGAGAGAAGGGGAUAGUGAGGGAGGGGAGAGGGUGAAGGAGAGAGGAGGGAGCGGUAGAGAGAGAGGAGCGAGAAUGUGGGAGAGAGCAAAGGAGGGAGAGAGAGGGGGAGGGGGCGAAAGAUGGGGGAUGGCUAAGAGAAGAGGGGGAUAAAGAGGAGGAAGAGAGAGAUAGGAAGGCAAAGGGAGGGAGAGAGAGAGGGAGAGGAUUGAUUAGAGAAUAGAGAGAGUGAGAGACAUGUCUGUCUAUCUGUCGGUCUAAGUCCUUCACCAGAAUACCCGUUGCAGCUUUAUCAUCAUCCCUUCCCAUUGACUGCAAUGUAUUUCACAUAAGCAUCAAACGCAUACACCUACACACACACAACACACACAUGCAAGCUCAUUCGCAUGAACACACACACAUACACUACCUUUGUAACUAUGAAAGCCUCUCACAGUCUGUUGUGUGCUGUGGGACGACUAAUAGGUAUGAGAGGUGUGCUUCUCCUCAUCCUCUGUAUCCUCUAGUAGGUGCUGAGCCAGGCUAAGGAGCUGAGAGUCACGAUGAAGAAGUACCAGGCCCAGCUCUCCCUGCCUGCUUUCCGGCCUCACACAAAGGACACCCGGCCAGCCCUAUAUGGCCACUGUCCCAUGGCCCUCCUCUACCCCAGGGCCUGCAACUAAAGGACACGGACGGCCCACUGGUGCUCAUCAACAGAACCGAGCUGGAGAAAGGCUGUGAGGACGACGACACAGUCAUGAUGGACUGGGUGAGUACCUCCCUGCUACAUCCACUAAACAGUUGGGAAAGGCUCCAUGCACGUUUCCAUUUCUCACCUAUUUUAUAUGUAAAAUAUUUCAUCUAGACAUAGAUACUUUACAUUCUGUCAAAAGAUGGGUUGUUACUC